CCUGGGAACUUGUGAGAAAUGCGAGUUCUCAGGCCCCACCCCAGAAAGACUGAACCAAACACUCCGGGUGUGGAGUCCAGGGAUCUGUAUUUUAAC
rnacentral:miRNA from 1 species